UACGGAGGGUGCAAGCGUUGUCCGGAAUCACUGGGCGUAAAGGGCGCGUAGGCGGCUCAUGAAGGCUGUGGUGAAAGUCCGGGGCUCAACCUCGGAUCGGCCGUGGCGACUCGUGGGCUGGAGCACUGUAGAGGCGGGUGGAAUUCCGGGUGUAGCGGUGGAAUGCGUAGAUGUCGGGAGGAACACCUGUGGCGAAAGCGGCUCACUGGACCACAACUGACGCUGAGGCGCGAAAGCUAGGGGAGCAAACAGG
rnacentral:rRNA from 1 species